GCCACGGUGGUCUAGCGGUUAGAACGCUGGCCUUGUAAUCCUGGGGUCCCGGGUUCGAUUCCCGGCGGUGCCC
rfam:Zootermopsis nevadensis contig22273, whole genome shotgun sequence.